rnacentral:rRNA from 1 species
GAAUAUUGGACAAUGGGCGCAAGCCUGAUCCAGCCAUGCCGCGUGAGUGAUGAAGGCCUUAGGGUUGUAAAGCUCUUUCAGCGGGGAAGAUAAUGACGGUACCCGCAGAAGAAGCCCCGGCUAACUUCGUGCCAGCAGCCGCGGUAAUACGAAGGGGGCUAGCGUUGUUCGGAAUUACUGGGCGUAAAGGGCGCGUAGGCGGACUGUUAAGUCAGGGGUGAAAUCCCGGGGCUCAACCCCGGAACUGCCUUUGAUACUGGUGGUCUUGAGUUCGGGAGAGGUGAGUGGAAUUCCGAGUGUAGAGGCGAAAUUCGUAGAUAUUCGGAGGAACACCAGUGGCGAAGGCGGCUCACUGGCCCGAUACUGACGCUGAGGCGCGAAAGCGUGGGGAGCAAACAGG